rnacentral:rRNA from 1 species
UACGUAGGGGGCAAGCGUUGUCCGGAAUCAUUGGGCGUAAAGAGCGUGUAGGCGGCCCGGUAAGUCCGUUGUGAAAGUCCAGGGCUCAACCCUGGAAUGCCGAUGGAUACUGCCGGGCUAGAGUUCGGAAGAGGCGAGUGGAAUUCCUGGUGUAGCGGUGGAAUGCGCAGAUAUCAGGAGGAACACCUAUAGCGAAGGCAGCUCGCUGGGACGACA